rnacentral:lncRNA from 1 species
UUCAUGAUCAUAAACUUCACUCUGCAAUCCAGCUAAACUUGGAGGGGAGUAAGGAGGACACAGGACCCGUGGAACUGCGGCAGGAACACAGGGACUCUAGAUUUCGAGCAGAUGGGGGCAGAAGGGCGCUCUCCCGAGCUACAGAAGGAAUGGUCUGGUAGUUAAGAUAAAACACGAGUCAAAUUUAUUAGAUUUGUCCACAGUCAGCAAUGGUGAUUUUCUUGCUGGUCUUGCCGUUCCGGGACCCAAAGCGCUCCAUGGCUUCCACGAUGUUCAUGCCUUCCUUCACCUUGCCAAACACCACGUGCUUACCAUCCAACC